GUAGUUCCCCGGGAAAAAUAUGUAGAAGUUCUUCGAAAAUAUCAUGAUGAGCCUUCUUCCGGUCAUUUCGGUGUGGCUAAGACCCACAAGAAAAUUUCUUCCAUAUAUUUCUGGCCUUCUUUAUUUAAAGAUGUAAAAUCAUAUGUUGACAAUUGUGAGGUAUGUCGUUCAUACAAGCCGGUCAAUACUGCUAGGCCUGGUCUGAUGGGUAACCCCCGUCAAGUUACUAAACCUUGGGAGGCUAUAUCAUGCGAUAUAUUAGGUCCUUUCCCUUCAUCUUAUUCUCGCAAUCAAUACUUAUUCGUGGUCUCUGAUUAUUUCAGUAAGUAUGUUCUUUUAUUCCCUUUGCGUAGUGCAACUUCUAAGGCCAUUGUGAAAUGUCUUGAAAAACAUGUUUUUCUAGUCCAUGGCGUAUGUCGUAUCCUGUAUACCGACAACGGUCCUCAAUUCACUUCUAAAGAAUUUAGAGAUUCUUUAACUUCAUUCGGAGUACCUCAUAUAUUCUAUAAUCCUCGAUACCAUCCCCAGUGUAAUCAAACUGAACGCGUGAAUCGUGAUAUAGUUCGUGCCAUUGCUUCCCUCGUGCGUUCUGAUCAUCGUAAAUGGGAUCAGAACAUUCAGGAAAUCCAGUGUGCGCUCAAUACUUCGGUCCACGAAAGUACAAAAUAUACUGCCUUUUAUCUAAAUCAUGGUAGAGAAAUGGUCAUCGAUGGUGCUACUUAUACAAAAGAUUCUUCACCUUGUGAUGGGUCUACCAUAGUAGUAGAUACCCAAACUUUUGCUUCUCGGUUGCCUCGUAUGGCUGAAGUCUUCAAGAAAGUUGAAUGUCACCUUAAAAAGGCAUAUCAACACAAUGUAAAAUAUUAUAAUCUUAGGAAGCGUCCUUUGGAAUUGCGGGAAGGUCAAAUUAUUUAUAAAAGAUGUUUUCCUUUGUCCAGCGCUCCCAAGCACUUUUCUGCUAAACUAGCCCCUAAGUUUGAAAAAUGUGUAGUACAUAAAAAGCUAGGUAAUGUAGUUUAUUCAUUGAAAACCUUAGAAGGUAAACCUUUGGGUUCCUUCCACAUUAAAGAUCUUGUUGUUCGAGGUCCUAGUGAAGAAGUUUAGGUCUUCUCUCACUUUCAAGGUUGUGUUCAAGGACAUUACCUGUUAAGUGGUCAUCCCUAUAGGAAGGGGAUCCAUUUGAUGAGGUUUCCCUCGUUCGAGUAAUAUCCGUAGGCCUUGUUUAUGCAUUUGGUGUGUGUUUGAUUACCACCCAAAUGACGCCAAGGAUAUUCACUCUUAUAAAAAUCAAAUAGAUUAAGUUUUUUAAGUACUUAAGUAGUUUUUACUUGGUAUAAGUUUAGUGUCAUGGCCAUGACUAAGUAUAACGUAUGCAUAAGGUUUAGUCUGUUAUUUUAAAUUUAAAAGUUAGGUAGGUUUUCCUUUAACUUGACUAUGUUCAAGAUAUUUGUAUGUUUAUUUAAGGUUAAGCAGUGUUAGAUUUAAUUCUUUGAGUUGUCGUCUGACACCACCAGGGUGUUUCUUUGAUUUGAUUCAAACAUAUGUUGCCUAUGUGCAAUGUGUUUUCUUGGGAGAAUCCCAAAUUUUAACUCAGGUAAGCACGAGGCUAGUGCGGAAUGUACUAAUCCUUUUCCCCUUGGGCUACAUGAGAUGUGUUUUCAAGUUUGAUACAUGGUGAUCAUGUUUGUUUCUUUCCAUUCUUUUACCUUUGUAAGGUAAAUGUACGUUCAUAACAAGUUAACUCAUCAGGAGUCGCUUGUUAUUUCUCUUUCGUUACUAGAAUGUAGCGAAAAAUUUUAUUUAAAAAUUUUAAAUUUUUAAAUAAAAUUUUUCUUCCUCAACUAAAACGGAACUGUAACACGUUUUUUUUUACACUUCCCACUUGGCUGUAUGGCAUACAGGUGUGUGCCUACGCGCCGGGAAAAAGUUAUGUUCGUUUGACAUUUCGUUUACGCGAUGACGAUGGCAAUUUAGUCCCGUCGCGAUUAUUUCUUUAAAGUGGUGUAUAAGCCACAUAUAUUAUGAUGGAAGGAUGGUGAAGUCUUCUGUAUAAAAACAAUGGUUUAGUCCAUCGUCUAGGGGGAAUGCUGUUAUAAUAUCGUCCCACGUGAUGUGGGGUCAAAGUCCACCGGCAGAGUCCAGUGUUAAAGUUCUACUAGAAUGAUCAACUGUAAAGACUAACUUCAAAAAUCAACUUCAGGGUCUAGCUCCCCAGCCAUGACUACCAUUUGUGUUCAUUAUCUGCUUUUGCCGUCAGGGACAGUUCCUGCUGCGGUCAUUAAUGUAAUUCCAGUUUGGGUGUUAAAAUCUCUGGAUACCAUCUGGAUAUCUCUUAUUCAGGGUUAAUUUAACCUAUUAUGGAUAGUGCCAUUCUCUCAAGGUGUUAUUCUACUAAUACAUGGAGUAUUUAUCCUCAAUACAUACUCCAUGCCUUUUGUCAGGACCUGCCGUCUUGAUACUUUACUUAUCCUCUUAGGGAUAAAACCUAGUUGUUUAGGAAUAAUACUAAGUUAAGAUACCAUGUUAGAGUAAAAGAUUUGUUUCUUAAUUUACUUUAGGAUGUUUUGUAACCAACUGACUUCAUAUUGUUUUAUAGUGAAAUUGUUGAACCAAUUAUACCAUUGUUAAAAGUGAAA